CACCCAACAGCUACCCUGUUGGCUAAAUGCCUGACAUCCAGCAUGGGACCUCUACUGCCAGCAUCCACUUACUGGCAUCACAGGGGCUUGACUGAGAUCUGAAACUUGAUCCUUCGUGUCAUCACUGGCCUAGCUCCAGCUCCAAUCGUGCAGCUUUGCUGGGAUUUUCAAGUUUUCUUCAUCAGGAUGAGAUCUAUUCAAAUGUAGGAGAGAGCUUCAGGUCACAUGGUCCAGCCCUGGAUAUCCAAGCUGUCUUGAAUUCGGUUUGGGGUCAAGACUACAGCCCAUGGGAUGGGUGCAAGUCCAGGCUCCACUCACAUCAUGAACCUGGAAGACUAUCAGGGUGGCCUGCCUGGAGCAACAGGAUGAGCUUGGACGUCAAGGUCAGCGGUGGUGCACGGGAACUCGCACCGCUCAGGGGAGCAGACUGUGCCCGUGUCUUCCCAACUCCAUGGUCAACGGCAUCAGGUUGGCAGCUUGAAAUCAGCCGUGGUGGGAGUAUUCGUAUCAUGCAGGCAGGCAAACUGCAAGUCGGUGCUGUAUCUUUUGUUCGGAGGGCCGGCUGUUAAACAUUAACCAGCACCACACGGGAGGGAGGUUCAAAUCCUGGCUGGCCCAUCGUGAUGACGGUCAUGGGAAACUUAUUUAACUUUCCUCAAUAGUUUCCCUAUUAAAAAUGGAGACGAAACACUUUCCAG
ensembl:lncRNA